CCGCUUCAGGUAGCCCUUUUCCCCCAGGCCGUUGGUGCCGCCAUUGGGAUCUCCCCAGCCCCCACUCACCAUGGCCAUUGCUUGGUUACCGAACCAACGAGGAAGAGCACGCCACAGUCAGGCAGCCGAGAUUCGUCAAGGCUGGUUUUGUUGUUGUCGUCGAAUCCGGACCGAAACCAAGCCGGCCGAAGGGGGUCUUCACUGUCAACAAUCAGUCGUUUGGCGACUGUGGAGAGAUGAGAAAGCUCUUGUAAAUGACCUGAGGUGAAAAAUUGACUGCAAAGACACACAUACUCAGACAUACAUACACAGCCCAGUCUUUAGCUAAUGACUGAAAUAGGAAACUAAUGCGGCACAAGCCUGUGCAGGCUUUAACGCCGAAUUCCCUCUUCCCCAUACAGUUACCCGCGCCAAUAUAAAUCUUCCAACGCUUACCUCCGAUUGAGCAUUAAUAUGUCCGUAGCUAUAAAUCCUCUGCCGCUAGAUCUUCCCGUCCUCCAUCCCGAGAGCGAGUGCAGCUUUCCUACUCUGCUGUAAUCCUCUCAGCGGUACCAUCGUGACCCACAAAGUGAAGCUAUUCCACGUCAUUUGCUCAUGUGGCUGGAGGCUUCUCUUCAAGGCUCCGCCAAAGAAGAAGAAAAAAAAAUGUGUCUGCGCUGUCAAGUUGACCUCCAAAUUGCACUCACGCACACGCACACAAGGCGAUGUGGGUUCAACACAAGGAAGUGCUGUCCUUUCCUUCCUCCUUCCCAGAAGCCUUAGUUGUGCUCCGAGCUUCUCGUUUGCAAGCCUUUUGUUGGUGCUUGGCCACCAAGAACUAAUGAUGUGCGGCCUAGCUGCUGCUUUUCAUCUGUGCGUGUGUGUGCGUGCGUGUGUGUGUGUGUGUGUGCCUUCCCUUGUGGCAAGAAGAGGUGGGGGGUGGAAAGCAAGAGUGCGCUUACUUUCUCGCUUCCCAGGCGUCCACGCAUCCAGUUCGCAUUCAAGAGAAAAUCCAAAGCUACAGACUAUUUGAAUUAGGCUCUACGUCUUCCUCUCGCUUUAUCUCUUUUUUCCCCCUCUAGCCUAUUUGAGUGUUUCAGAGAGAGAGAGAGAGAGAGAGAGAGAGAGAGAGAGAGCAAGCGAGCAAGCAGGAGAGGGCGAAAGGCAUAGGGAGGGAGGUGGAGUGUGUGCAGAGGGGGAGGGGUGCGUGUGCAUGUGUGUGUAUGCUUGUUCUGAGGGAUUUGACACUAUUCAAACCCUGUGGUUGCCAUGGCGCUGGUUGCCUUAUAUGGGCAUUGGAGUCAAAAGAGCAAAGAGAGUGGGCAGUGUGGGGCACACACAGCAAGAAUGCGGAGGAUAUCUGCUGAGAUGCAAAGAGCAUGACCCCAAGGCUUUAAAAAAAAAACGCAUGCAGACAAUACCAGAUUACUCGCUGCUACAAAUACAAGCAUGCUGGCUGGCCUUUUGUUUCACAUAAAGCUAUUCAGUGUUAACCGAAUGGCGAAGAUGUGAACUUUCUCUAUUUCAUGUAGAGUGAUGCCUUGAGAUAUGAGUUUAAUUUGUUCCGUGACCAUUUUCGUUAAGUCAAAACCCUCGUAACUGAAAUCGGCUUUCCCCAUUGAAGUGAAUGGAAAUGCCAUUAAUCCGAUCCAGCCUUCGCCAAUAAAACAACUGUGAUGCAUAUUUUCACGAGGAAAAAAAUGGUCUUGUACUUCAUAAAAACAUACAGUAAUGACACAAUUAAAUAGAAUGUAAAUAAUGAAACCAUUUUUUGUUUUCACUUUUUGCUUCAAUUCAGUGGCCAUCAUUCUGCUCCUGGUAUAGUACAGACAUGCGGAUAUAUAGUACAUGUAGACAGAGGAGCUGUCACAACUCCACAGUAGUAAUAUUGGCCAUUCUUUGCAGAAGAUAAAGAAUAUAUUCCUCGCUUAGUGAAGCACACAGUGAGAGGUCAAACAGACUUUGGUACCCCGGCCACGGUAAAAAGCCUGAGGUCAAAUGCAGAUAAAGAGGAGGACAGCACCCAGAACAACCUCGGAUAAGAGAUAAGUAAUGAAUCUGCUUGUAAAUGCACCGCUGUUUGAAUGCGGGGGGGGUGUUGCUGUCACAGUCUCACAGAUAUGGACACAUGAAAGCACCCUGGAAGACAGUCUAUAUGCAACCUGUUGUCUUAUCUACGCGGUGUGAUGAAGGAUUUUAAGUCAUUCUGCCUUUCACAGACAUCUUUAUGGCAAUCCUAAAGCAAAACCAAGCUUACCCCCUGGAGACCACAGUGUGUGUGUCACAGAGAAGCAUUGUCCUAGACUCCUAGCCUUUGUGCAGCUAAUAGGUCAUCAGAUGGGUGUGUUGGGGGGAGGAGUGUGUGCGUGUGUGUGUUCAUUUGAAUAAAAGUCCCCUAAUUAGGCCACUGCCUGCCUGCUUGUUGUCACUUCUCGUGUGGGGUGUGCAAAAUUAGGCUUGUCAGUGAAUUAAGGGUCCUUGGAAGACGCCUGUGUGCUAGUUAGUGUAUGUGAACGAAAAUGGCAAUCUGUAGUUUUGUAGCCAAAUACACUAAACACCAAAACAAACUAGCACAAGUGUGGCUUGUAAGAAAACACAACUGAAUGACAGUGGUUAUAAUGUACAGUGGUAUGUAGAGAUACGAGUGAUCCAACUUUUUUUGAGGUACAAGCUAUCGUUGAACUGUUCUUUCUUUUUUAUUUUUUAUUUUUUUUUCUCUCAUUGACUUUAAAUUUGAGAUAAGAGCGCUGCAUUGUGACAGUGAACUCAACUCACGUCACAACAAACAGCAGUUUGGCAUAUAGUGAACAAUUCUUCCAAAAAGAGGUUUCAAGCUAUUUAUUGCUGCUCCCAGUUGAAGUUUACUGUUAAAACUAACCAUUAAAAAAAAGACAAUUGCAUGUGUAUUUAAAACAACAACUGCUUAGCUUAAUGCUAACAAGCAGUCCAAAAUGCCAUAGAUGGGCUAACAAACAGCAUUAGUGUCGCAGUUCGCAAUUUCCUGAGCUG